rnacentral:rRNA from 1 species
AUUGAACGCUGGCGGCAGGCCUAACACAUGCAAGUCGAACGAGUGGCGGACGGGUGAGUAAUGUCUGGGAAACUGCCUGAUGGACCGGGAUAACUACUGGAAACGGUAGCUAAUACUGCUUACCAUCCGAUGUGCUCAGAUGGGAUUAGCUAGUUGGUGGGGUAACGGCUCACCAGGGCGACGAGCCCUAGCUGGUCUGAGAGGAUGACCGGCCACACUGGAACUGAGACACGGUCCAGACUCCUACGGGAGGCAGCAGUGGGGAAUAUUGGGCAAUGGGCGCAAGCCUGAUGCAGCCAUGCCGCGUGUGUGAAGAAGGCCUUCGGGUUGUAAAGUACUUUCAGCGGGGAGGCGUUACCCGCAGAAGAAGCACCGGCUAACUCCGUGCCAGCAGCCGCGGUAAUAC